UACAGAGGUCUCAAGCGUUGUCCGGAAUUAUUGGGCGUAAAGAGCUCGUAGGCGGUUAGUCGCGUCUGCUGUGAAAACUCGGGGCUUAACUCCGGGCCUGCAGUGGGUACGGGCUGACUAGAGUGCGGUAGGGGAGACUGGAAUUCCUGGUGUAGCGGUGAAAUGCGCAGAUAUCAGGAGGAACACCGGUGGCGAAGGCGGGUCUCUGGGCCGUAACUGACGCUGAGGAGCGAAAGCGUGGGGAGCGAACAGG
rnacentral:rRNA from 1 species